GAUGAACGCUGGCGGCGUGCCUAAUACAUGCAAGUCGAGCGAACGGACGAGAAGCUUGCUUCUCUGAUGUUAGCGGCGGACGGGUGAGUAACACGUGGAUAACCUAUCUAUAAGACUGGGAUAACUUCGGGAAACCGGAGCUAAUACCGGAUAAUAUUUUGAACCGCAUGGUUCAAAAGUGAAAGACGGUCUUGCUGUCACUUAUAGAUGGAUCCGCGCUGCAUUAGCUAGUUGGUAAGGUAACGGCUUACCAAGGCAACGAUGCAUAGCCGACCUGAGAGGGUGAUCGGCCACACUGGAACUGAGACACGGUCCAGACUCCUACGGGAGGCAGCAGUAGGGAAUCUUCCGCAAUGGGCGAAAGCCUGACGGAGCAACGCCGCGUGAGUGAUGAAGGUCUUCGGAUCGUAAAACUCUGUUAUUAGGGAAGAACAUAUGUGUAAGUAACUAUGCACAUCUUGACGGUACCUAAUCAGAAAGCCACGGCUAACUACGUG
rnacentral:rRNA from 1 species